rnacentral:rRNA from 1 species
UACGUAGGGGGGCAAGCGUUGUCCGGAUUUAUUGGGCGUAAAGAGCGUGUAGGCGGCCAGACAGGUCCGUUGUGAAAACUCGAGGCUCAACCUCGAGAUGUCGAUGGAAACCGUCUGGCUAGAGUCCGGAAGAGGAGUGUGGAAUUCCUGGUGUAGCGGUGAAAUGCGCAGAUAUCAGGAAGAACACCUAUGGCGAAGGCAGCACUCUGGGACGGUACUGACGCUGAGACGCGAAAGCGUGGGGAGCGAACAGG